GCCGCCGUAGCUCAGCGGGAGAGCGCCCGGCUGAAGACCGGGUUGUCCGGGGUUCGAAUCCCCGCGGCGGCA
rnacentral:tRNA from 1 species